GGUGGUGUAGUUAAUAGCUGCAUCAUUUGACGUUAGCGACAGAAGAAGCACCGGCUAACUCCGUGCCAGCAGCCGCGGUAAUACGGAGGGUGCGAGCGUUAAUCGGAAUUACUGGGCGUAAAAGCGCAUGCAGGUGGUUUGUUAAGUCAGAUGUGAAAAAGCCCGGGCUCAAACCUCGGAAAUAGCAUUUGAAAACUGGCAGACUAGAGUACUGUAGAGGGGGUAGAAUUUCAGGUGUAGCGGUGAAAAUGCGUAGAGAUCUGAAGGAAUACCGGUGGCGAAGGCGGCCCCCUGGACAGAUACUGACACUCAGAUGCGAAAGCGUGGGGAGCAAACAGGAUUAGAUACCCUGGUAG
rnacentral:rRNA from 1 species